CCCCCCCCCACAAAAUUCCUGUCCCAACGGAGUGUGUAUACCGGUGCCUUUGUUCGGUAACUGGUAUGUAUCUGCUUUUCCUUUAAAUCCCCCACAGUCCAAGAUAAGGCUAGCUGAGUCUCUUGGAAGUGAGCAUUGACAUGCCAGGAGAAGUGUGACCUUGGUGACAUCUAUGCAAUUAACUACCACUGCAGUCAUCUAGGCAAGAAAAUGUUUAACCUGUGGUGCACUGGCAGGAUUGCUCCCCAAGCCCCUUUCUUUUCUGUGGUGCAAUAAUCUAUAAAUAAUACAUUAGCACACUGGGCAAGAAAGCUACUCCAGUCUGGGGUAUCAAGAGGUUAGAGAUUAGUUUGUAAUGUAGGAUUGAUUUUGCAGGGGUUAGUGAUUUAAUCAUUACUAGCAACCUCAACAGUGACAAUCUAAUGGAGCGCAACGUGCAGCCUGAAAGAAUCCCUUAAACACAGCCAGAAUCACAAGCUAUUUGACUGACUGAUGGUUUGAUAGGUGGCAUGAAGUUGACUGCUGAACCCCUUAUACAAAAGCCAUCAUGAAUCAUCUCAAGUUUCUAGAAUGAAGGAAGAUGACAACAACCACUGCCGGCCUAUUGGACUUCAGCUUUCUUCUCAGUCUACCAAGGCCACUCUGGGCAGUUUACCUCCAGCAAUCCAGUUAAGGUAUCCAUUAGCAUCGGCCCUGCUGACUCCAGAUUCUGAAAGGCUAAAGGUCUCCUUUUCCCGACAUAAAGCUAGGCAAGUCUGCUUGCCAUGAUACAAUGACAGGUCAAGUGCUGAUCACUGGCCGAAAAAGGAUGUCAACAAAGUAAGCCGAACAGUCUGUGAAACUCAAUGCUACCCUCUUACUCCAUCUCAAGUUUGAACCAUUACUGAAAUAAUUGAU
rnacentral:lncRNA from 1 species